GGCGAACGCUGGCGGCGUGCUUAACACAUGCAAGUCGAACGGAAAGGCCCUGCUUUUGUGGGGUGCUCGAGUGGCGAACGGGUGAGUAACACGUGAGUAACCUGCCCUUGACUUUGGGAUAACUUCAGGAAACUGGGGCUAAUACCGGAUAGGAGCUCCUGCUGCAUGGUGGGGGUUGGAAAGUUUCGGCGGUUGGGGAUGGACUCGCGGCUUAUCAGCUUGUUGGUGGGGUAGUGGCUUACCAAGGCUUUGACGGGUAGCCGGCCUGAGAGGGUGACCGGCCACAUUGGGACUGAGAUACGGCCCAGACUCCUACGGGAGGCAGCAGUGGGGAAUAUUGCACAAUGGGCGGAAGCCUGAUGCAGCAACGCCGCGUGCGGGAUGACGGCCUUCGGGUUGUAAACCGCUUUCGCCUGUGACGAAGCGUGAGUGACGGUAAUGGGUAAAGAAGCACCGGCUAACUACGUGCCAGCAGCCGCGGUGAUACGUAGGGUGCGAGCGUUGUCCGGAUUUAUUGGGCGUAAAGGGCUCGUAGGUGGUUGAUCGCGUCGGAAGUGUAAUCUUGGGGCUUAACCCUGAGCGUGCUUUCGAUACGGGUUGACUUGAGGAAGGUAGGGGAGAAUGGAAUUCCUGGUGGAGCGGUGGAAUGCGCAGAUAUCAGGAGGAACACCAGUGGCGAAGGCGGUUCUCUGGGCCUUUCCUGACGCUGAGGAGCGAAAGCGUGGGGAGCGAACAGGCUUAGAUACCCUGGUAGUCCACGCUGUAAACGGUGGGUACUAGGUGUGGGGUCCAUUCCACGGGUUCCGUGCCGUAGCUAACGCUUUAAGUACCCCGCCUGGGGAGUACGGCCGCAAGGCUAAAACUCAAAGGAAUUGACGGGGCCCCGCACAAGCGGCGGAGCAUGCGGAUUAAUUCGAUGCAACGCGUAGAACCUUACCUGGGUUUGACAUGGAUCGGGAGCGCUCAGAGAUGGGUGUGCCUCUUUUGGGGUCGGUUCACAGGUGGUGCAUGGCUGUCGUCAGCUCGUGUCGUGAGAUGUUGGGUUAAGUCCCGCAACGAGCGCAACCCUUGUUCACUGUUGCCAGCACGUUAUGGUGGGGACUCAGUGGAGACCGCCGGGGUCAACUCGGAGGAAGGUGGGGAUGACGUCAAGUCAUCAUGCCCCUUAUGUCCAGGGCUUCACGCAUGCUACAAUGGCUGGUACAGAGAGUGGCGAGCCUGUGAGGGUGAGCGAAUCUCGGAAAGCCGGUCUCAGUUCGGAUUGGGGUCUGCAACUCGACCUCAUGAAGUCGGAGUCGCUAGUUAUCGCAGAUCAGCAACGCUGCGGUGAAUACGUUCCUGGG
rnacentral:rRNA from 1 species